UCAGGCCUAACACAUGCAAGUCGAGCGAGAAAACUCCUUCGGGAGUGAGUAGAGCGGCGGACGGGUGAGUAACGCGUAGGAAUCUACCCAGUGGUGGGGGACAACAUGUGGAAACGCAUGCUAAUACCGCAUACGCCCUACGGGGGAAAGCGGGGGACCUUCGGGCCUCGCGCCAUUGGAUGAGCCUGCGUAAGAUUAGCUAGUUGGUGGGGUAAAAGCCUACCAAGGCGACGAUCUUUAGCUGGUCUGAGAGGAUGAUCAGCCACACUGGGACUGAGACACGGCCCAGACUCCUACGGGAGGCAGCAGUGGGGAAUAUUGGACAAUGGGGGCAACCCUGAUCCAGCCAUGCCGCGUGUGUGAAGAAGGCCUUAGGGUUGUAAAGCACUUUCAAUUGGGAAGAAAAGCUGAUGCUUAAUACGUAUCAGCCCUGACAUUACCUCUAGAAGAAGCACCGGCUAACUCCGUGCCAGCAGCCGCGGUAAUACGGAGGGUGCGAGCGUUAAUCGGAAUUACUGGGCGUAAAGCGCGCGUAGGCGGUUAUUUAAGUCAGCUGUGAAAGCCCAGGGCUUAACCUGGGAACUGCAGUUGAUACUGGAUGACUAGAGUACGAGAGAGGGAGGUAGAAUUCCACGUGUAGCGGUGAAAUGCGUAGAUAUGUGGAGGAAUGCCAGUGGCGAAGGCGGCCUCCUGGCUCGAU
rnacentral:rRNA from 1 species